rnacentral:snRNA from 1 species
UUAUAUACUGGUGCCGGGAACUCCGCGAUCAGGAAGGCGGAGACUCCAGGAGGAGGCCCUUCCAUUGCACUUCGGCAGGGCUGAGACCUGCCACUCUCCCAAACUGGGAAAGAUGGGGCAUGCAAUUUUUGGGAUGUAAUAUCUAUAGCAUAGAUAUAUAUA